CGAAGACCUGAGAAUAAUCAACACUACGUUCGAGGACCUUAUAUCCCAAAAUAAUCAACAAAUAAGAAUCAACAACGUACUCAACACCAAAAUCGACACAAUAAUGACGACUGUCAAUAGGCUUAUUGACCAACAAUCAACAGAAAACAAAAUCCUUUUAGAAGAAAUGGAUGCCAUAACACUACUUCUUUACAUGGAUACAACGAACAAAAUCCUGGAAGAUUUGGAAGACACAAUUCUGAGGACUCGGAUCAAUCUCGCCAACAAAAGAGAACGGUCAUCAAAAUUGGAAUUCAAAAGGACACCCCAUCCCAGGAGGAAUGAAAAGAAGUUCGAGGACGCCCUUCGAUCUACCCCCGGAGGAAUUAUGCGCCGGUCAUCGCAUUAAUGCUGAGUAUUAAGGUCCAAAGUACGCCACGCGGUCACACCACCGUCCACGCCGUCCAACAUGCAGCCCGGUUACCAAGCCACCGUCAGCAGAAUCAGAACCGUCCAACUAGGUCGGCCAGGAAAAGCAGAGUAGGCAAGUUUAGGUUUUAAAUAGGAAUCAAUCGACUCUUCGAGGGUCAGUAUUAAUCAAUCAGUCUUUAGGAUCGGUAUUUUUUCGUAUUAGUUAUAAAAGUGAGUGCAUGUAAUGUAAAAGUAGCAAAUAAAGUUCUUUUUUUUAGAAUAAAUCA